UGCUGGUCAAACGGAACCAAAUCGUGGUCUACGAUGGUUUGGUCCCCUUCAACCAGCUGC
rnacentral:pre_miRNA from 1 species